rnacentral:tRNA from 1 species
GCCCGCGUGGCGGAAUUGGCAUACGCAGCAGGUUGAGGGCCUGUGCCGUAAGGCGUGGAGGUUCGAGUCCUCUCGCGGGCACCA